rnacentral:rRNA from 1 species
CCUACGGGUGGCAGCAGUGGGGAAUAUUGGACAAUGGGCGAAAGCCUGAUCCAGCCAUGCCGCGUGUGUGAAGAAGGCCUUCGGGUUGUAAAGCACUUUCAGUGGGGAAGAAAGCCUUGGGGCUAAUACCCUCGAGGAAGGACAUCACCCACAGAAGAAGCACCGGCUAACUCCGUGCCAGCAGCCGCGGUAAUAUGGAGGGUGCGAGCGUUAAUCGGAAUUACUGGGCGUAAAGCGCGCGUAGGCGGUCUGAUAAGCCGGUUGUGAAAGCCCCGGGCUCAACCUGGGAACGGCAUCCGGAACUGUCAGGCUAGAGUGCAGGAGAGGAAGGUAGAAUUCCCGGUGUAGCGGUGAAAUGCGUAGAGAUCGGGAGGAAUACCAGUGGCGAAGGCGGUCUUCUGGACUGACACUGACGCUGAGGUGCGAAAGCGUGGGUAGCAAACAGGAUUAGAUACCCGGGUAGUC